GGGGAAUAUUGCACAAUGGGCGAAAGCCUGAUGCAGCAACGCCGCGUGAGUGAUGAAGGUCUUCGGAUUGUAAAGCUCUGUCUUUCGGGACGAUAAUGACGGUACCAAAGGAGGAAGCCACGGCUAACUACGUGCCAGCAGCCGCGGUAAUACGUAGGUGGCGAGCGUUGUCCGGAUUUACUGGGCGUAAAGGGUGCGUAGGCGGAUGUUUAAGUGAGAUGUGAAAUACCCGGGCUUAACUUGGGUGCUGCAUUUCAAACUGGAUAUCUAGAGUGCAGGAGAGGAGAAUGGAAUUCCUAGUGUAGCGGUGAAAUGCGUAGAGAUUAGGAAGAACACCAGUGGCGAAGGCGAUUCUCUGGACUGUAACUGACGCUGAGGCACGAAAGGCGUGGGUAGCAAACAGGAUUAGAUACCCUGGUAGUCCACGCCGUAAACGAUGAGUACUAGGUGUAGGAGGUAUCGACCCCUUCUGUGCCGCAGUAAACACAUUAAGUACUCCGCCUGGGAAGUACGAUCGCAAGAUUAAAACUCUAAAGUGAAUUGAC
rnacentral:rRNA from 1 species